UGCUUCUCGUCGAGGAAAAUUCCCGAGC
rnacentral:rasiRNA from 1 species